rnacentral:antisense_RNA from 1 species
GAUGCCGCACAUGAAGACAAAAGCCUAUCAAAUGGGGUGUCAAAAAAGAAACAUUAAAAUAUCGAGGAUGGAAACUGGAGUCCAUGUUGGCCCUACAAGUCUUCUCUGAAUAUUCCAGAAACUAAUAGUUAAGUUUUUUUAAAGAGGAGUAAAACAGAGACAUUCAAAGAUGAACAGCAACUCUGAAUGGAAAGAGGCGAGCUGUAAAACGUCAUAGAAGACCUGCAGUAGAGAUACAAUCCUGAGAAGAAUAUUUAGCAAGAAUGGGGUUUCAGAUUUCUGGUAUUUCCAUAUGGGUGGAGAUUGAAGAAAAAAAAGAAAAGAGCAAAAGUUUUCUCAUAAUGUUUUGCAACUUCUGCUUCCGGGCCCAGUCAGAGCCCAAAAGCAGCAAGAGAGGUAAAAAUGAAAACAUUGAA